AAGAUUUUCAGGUUCGUUAUGUCAGUAGUUCCAGCUUCUUCUGUCUGUAUCUUUCCUCAUGCCGUCAUGCUUUCGGUUGGUUUCUUCCUUCUCUAAUUGUAUCCCAAUUUUAGGUCUGAUGCUAUUACUAUUAUUGAUGACCCGUAUCAACAAGUUGUUGGGUCUUCCAUUGUGGUUGGAUGUUUUGAAGAUACAAAAGCUUCAAUGUGUCAAUAGUAAUAUUUACUAGUUCAGCGAGAUUUUCUACUGCCAAGUUCUUAACUUUGUCAUGUCAUAUUGGUUUUCCUCUGUUUUUUACCCUUCAAUGCCAUGUCCUAUGCUAGGCUCAGCUUGAUUCUCACUGGUGAUCUCAGCCAUGGAUUGAACACCUUCAAGCUGUGCUUCUAAAACUCGCUGUUUGCCAUUGAUAUGCAUGUGAUGGUAUGUGUCUGUUAGAUCGCCACUGGUUAUCCUUGAUGUACACAAGUAUUCUAUAUAUGUGAUCUCUUAAAACUCAGAUAAAGUUGCCAUGUUUUUAUUGGCCUCCUCAUUUGGUAGUGCAGGGGUAGCUAUUUGGCUCAUAAACUAACUGCAUAGUGCCACAACCCCAAAAUGUGUAAUACUGUAUAAGCCCUCUUUUAUUACACUUUAGAGGAACGACAGAUCAUGGAAGCAGGAAAAAUAUGCUGCAAUAUGCUGAUGCCAAUCUUUAUAAGUUAUCCCGGACCCUCAGAUGAUGCAGGAACUGAUUUCCAACAAGCAUGGCCACUUCGGAAAGCCACUGCUCAAACCAUUUCUACUCAUCCUUGCUAGAGGCCUCAUUGUUUCAAAACACUGGAAGUUUGAUGCGUUCUUUGGCUUCCGCUAAGGUUAUGAUUUCUUUGUGUUCCGAUUUCUUUGUUUUCUGCGGUUGGAUAGUUUUUCUUCCUUUUUGUAGUUCACGAAUCGCAAACGUAAGUUAUGUUUAUCCAAUUGCAAUGAAUCUAUUUGUGCAUAAUCACGGAUGUGCAAUGUCUAAUUAUAAUCAAUUUUGAGUUUCGUGGC
rnacentral:lncRNA from 1 species